rnacentral:rRNA from 1 species
AUUGAACGCUGGCGGCAGGCCUAACACAUGCCAGUCGAGCGGAUGAAGGGAGCUUGCUCCUGGAUUCAGCGGCGGACGGGUGAGUAAUGCCUAGGAAUCUGCCUGGUAGUGGGGGAUAACGUCCGGAAACGGGCGCUAAUACCGCAUACGUCCUGAGGGAGAAAGUGGGGGAUCUUCGGACCUCACGCUAUCAGAUGAGCCUAGGUCGGAUUAGCUAGUUGGUGGGGUAAAGGCCUACCAAGGCGACGAUCCGUAACUGGUCUGAGAGGAUGAUCAGUCACACUGGAACUGAGACACGGUCCGGACUCCUACGGGAGGCAGCAGUGGGGAAUAUUGGACAAUGGGCGAAAGCCUGAUCCAGCCAUGUCGCGUGUGUGAAGAAGGUCUUCGGAUUGUAAAGCACUUUAAGUUGGGAGGAAGGGCAGUAAGUUAAUACCUUGCUGUUUUGACGUUACCAACAGAAUAAGCACCGGCUAACUUCGUG